rnacentral:rRNA from 1 species
CGUAGGUGGCGAACGUUAUCCGGAAUCCUUGGGCGUAAAGGGUGCGUAGAUGGCCUGAUAAGUUAGCAGUGGGAAAUCGAGGCUCAACCUCGUGGAAGCUGGUAAUACUGUUAGGCUCGAGUGCAGGAGAAGUUAACGGAACUCCAUGUGGAGCGGUAAAAUGUGUAGAUAUAUGGAAGAACAUCAAUAACGGCGAAGGCAGUUAACUAUUCUGUUACUGACGUUGAGGCACGAAAGCGUGGGGAGCAAAACGG